rnacentral:rRNA from 1 species
GACGAACGCUGGCGGCGUGCUUAACACAUGCAAGUCGAACGGAAAGGCCCUGCUUUUGUGGGGUGCUCGAGUGGCGAACGGGUGAGUAACACGUGAGUAACCUGCCCUUGACUUUGGGAUAACUUCAGGAAACUGGGGCUAAUACCGGAUAGGAGCUCCUGCUGCAUGGUGGGGGUUGGAAAGUUUCGGCGGUUGGGGAUGGACUCGCGGCUUAUCAGCUUGUUGGUGGGGUAGUGGCUUACCAAGGCUUUGACGGGUAGCCGGCCUGAGAGGGUGACCGGCCACAGUGGGCCUGGGGUACGGCCCAGACGGAUACGGGAGGCAGGAGUGGAGACUAGUGCACAAUGGGCGGAAGGCUGAUGCAGCAACGCCGCGUGCGGGAUGACGGCCUUCGGGGUGUAAACCGCUUUCGCCUGUGACGAAGCGUGAGUGACGGUAAUGGGUAAAGAAGCACCGGCUAACUACGU